UUUUCCAAUGAGUCAGUUAUUU
rnacentral:miRNA from 8 species